UCUCCCCACUCCCUACACCCCCUACUCCCCGCCCCGCCAAAUCCACCCCGGCCCCUGCUGCCAAAACCCUGUGCAUCCUGAACCUGGGAGUGUCCUUUAAGGAAGCCAUACAAGGGAGCUCCCUGAGGUCCUUCCCUAAAUGGCCUCUGACUCUCCUACCUGGAAGCAGAGCCCAAGAACGUUGAGCUGAUGAAGAGGACUCUGGGCUUGGCCAUGUAUGGGAAAGCAGCCUGUUGCACGGCAAGAGUGACGCCAUCUUGAAGCAAAACCGCCACGAUGAUUGAUGUUUGACCCCCACAUAACAAGCAGAGAUGGGGUUUCACCAUCUUAGCCAGGCUGGUCUCGAACUCCUGACCUCAAGAGAUCCACCCACCUCGGCCUCACAAAGCGCUGGGAUUAUGGAUAUGAGCCACCACACCUGGCCAGAAUCUGGCAGUUUUAGCAGAAAGCAGAGAAGCAAGUAGCUGUCUGGAAGGAGAUUGGAGGGAUUGUGGUUGGGGAGCGGGAGUCUCAGGGCCCCUAAUGGGUUUCAGAGGCCAAGACAGGUAAGGAGGUCAUCCUCCCAAGAAGAUGGGAAGGGUGGACAGUGACAGCUGCAAAAGAUUGGUUACUUUCAGGGGGAUGGAUCCACUAAGUAAAUAGAUUACCAGCCCAGCCAACAUAGCGAAUCCCCAUCUCUACUAAAAAUACAAAAAUUAGGUGGGUGUGGUGGCGGGCACCUGUAGUCCCAGCUACUGGAGAGGCUGAGGCAGGAGAAUUGCUUGAACC